UACGUAGGGUGCGAGCGUUGCCCGGAAUUACUGGGCGUAAAGAGCUCGUAGGUGGUUUGUCGCGUUGUUCGUGAAAACUCACAGCUCAACUGUGGGCGUGCGGGCGAUACGGGCAGACUGGAGUACUGCAGGGGAGACUGGAAUUCCUGGUGUAGCGGUGGAAUGCGCAGAUAUCAGGAGGAACACCGGUGGCGAAGGCGGGUCUCUGGGCAGUAACUGACGAUGAGGAGCGAAAGCGUGGGGAGCGAACAGG
rnacentral:rRNA from 1 species